UACGAGUGCUCCAAGCGUUAUCCGGAAUCAUUGGGCGUAAAGGGUGUGUAGGUGGUUGUGUUAGUCUUCUGUUAAAUUCUUCGGCUUAACCGGGGGCAUGCAGGGGAAACGGCACGACUAGAGGAUGCGAGAGGUGAAUGGAACUCAUGGAGUAGGGGUGAAAUCCGUUGAUAUCAUGGGGAACACCAAAUGCGAAGGCAAUUCACUGGCGCACUUCCUGACACUGAGACACGAAAGCGUAGGUAGCGAAUGGG
rnacentral:rRNA from 1 species